CUGAACUCUUGGCUUCUUCCCGUGGCUCUGCAGGAACAAAAGGACAGAAUGGAUAUGGUGGAGUAACGGCCGUAAUAUUUAUUUGCAGGUGUAAGUCUCCUUGGAAAAACUCGAGUCUUGUCUCAGCUGAGCUCAAAGCCAAAGGACGACUGUGGAAGGUUCCUUAAGCUCUCCAGGCCUCGCUGUCUCUCCCGUCCAACUAGAGGACCAGGAAACAGUAUCUAAGGGACACUCCUCAAUGGAUGACACCCCCCUAAGGACACUAGGGAAAUGCCGAGUGCACAGAAGCCAGGGCCCUUAGAAGCUGCUGGAAGGCUCCUCUGUGGUCACCUUUUCCUGAAACACCAUCCUGGAGAACCACCAACCUAAGCAGGUUUCCUCCCCCUUUCCUUUCCUGGUGUGCCUUGGCCUUGGGGGCACUGGACCACGGAGGGCCACUUCCUGUGACCUGACCAAGGCUGUGGAAUAAGUUAGGAAGUGCUCUGUGGCUUGUCCUCGGGCUCAACCUGCCUGUGGCCCCAGCUGGGCUUUGUUGGUUCAAGACCCUGGAAGACCUUGCCUGGGGCCCUGCCGGUCCUGUCAUCCCCUGGCGGCCCCCACCUUGCUCCUUGAGCCGGAUGAUCUCCGUGUCGGAGCCAAAGCUGUUCCAGGCGGUGCAGUUGUAGAUGGUCUGGAAGUCGGCCCGCACGAUGUUGCUGAUGGUCAGCGUGGAGAUGACCCCCUCUUCGGUGCUGACCGUCUCCACCGUGUAGCGCCCCGACGUCCCCGACUCCAGCACGUUCUCCUUCCAGGACCAGGCCUGUCCGAGGUGCGCAGAGUGAGGAGGAGACCCCCACCCCCCCGCCAGCGCCGCCCUGCCACCUCCCUGCUCCAGGCCGGGAGCUGCCAGGCUCGCAUCCAGCAGCAUCAUGCCCACGGGUCCUCACACGCAUCCCAACAUGCCACAGACGUGUGCACGCAACACACAUCAACGCACAUCACAACACACACACCAGACCACACACGCACAUAACCAUGCACGCGUACACGAAGGCUGGGCCACCCCGGAGGGCAUUUCCACGGACAGGGGGCCUUCUGUGGCUCUUCCCUGGGACACCUUCCGGGCAGACAGGGAACCCUGUGACAGCGAUGGGAGCCCCCCGCCCUCGGCGGGCCCUCGGCUGCCCUGGCAGGUGGGAGAAGAAGACCAGCCCCAGAGUGACUGAGCCUAGUUUUGUCACUUUGCUCCUUGGUACAAACAUA